rnacentral:rRNA from 1 species
GACGAACGCUGGCGGCGUGCCUAAUACAUGCAAGUCGAACGCUUCUUUCCUCCCGAGUGCUUGCACUCCAUUGGAAAGAGGAGUGGCGGACGGGUGAGUAACACGUGGGUAACCUACCCAUCAGAGGGGGAUAACACUUGGAAACAGGUGCUAAUACCGCAUAACAGUUUAUGCCGCAUGGCAUAAGAGUGAAAGGCGCUUUCGGGUGUCGCUGAUGGAUGGACCCGCGGUGCAUUAGCUAGUUGGUGAGGUAACGGCUCACCAAGGCCACGAUGCAUAGCCGACCUGAGAGGGUGAUCGGCCACACUGGGACUGAGACACGGCCCAGACUCCUACGGGAGGCAGCAGUAGGGAAUCUUCGGCAAUGGACGAAAGUCUGACCGAGCAACGCCGCGUGAGUGAAGAAGGUUUUCGGAUCGUAAAACUCUGUUGUUAGAGAAGAACAAGGACGUUAGUAACGGAACGUCCCCUGACGGUAUCUAACCAGAAAGCCACGGCUAACUACGUGC